GAUGAACGCUGACAGAAUGCUUAACACAUGCAAGUCAACUGUGGCGGACGGGUGAGUAACGCGUAAAGAACUUGCCUCACAGUUAGGGACAACAUUUGGAAACGAAUGCUAAUACCUGAUACUGUGAGAGAGCUUUGCGUCCCAUUAGCUAGUUGGAGAGGUAACGGCUCACCAAGGCGAGGAUGGGUAGCCGGCCUGGGAGGGUGAUCGGCCACAAGGGGACUGAGAGAGGGCCCUUACUCCUACUGGAGGCAGCAGUGAGGAAUAUUGGACAAUGGACCAAAGUGUGAAGCAGCAAUUCGGUGUGCACGAUGAAUUUUUCGGAAUGUAAAGUGCUUUCAGUUGGGAAGCAGUACCAACAGAAGAAGUGACGGCUAAAUACGUGCCAGCAGCCGCGGUAAUAC
rnacentral:rRNA from 1 species